UGGGGAAUCUUCCGCAAUGGACGAAAGUCUGACGGAGCAACGCCGCGUGAGUGAUGACGGCCUUCGGGUUGUAAAGCUCUGUUAAUCGGGACGAAUGGUUCUUGUGCGAAUAGUGCGAGGAUUUGACGGUACCGGAAUAGAAAGCCACGGCUAACUACGUGCCAGCAGCCGCGGUAAUACGUAGGUGGCAAGCGUUGUCCGGAAUUAUUGGGCGUAAAGCGCGCGCAGGCGGAUUGGUCAGUCUGUCUUAAAAGUUCGGGGCUUAACCCCGUGAUGGGAUGGAAACUGCCAAUCUAGAGUAUCGGAGAGGAAAGUGGAAUUCCUAGUGUAGCGGUGAAAUGCGUAGAUAUUAGGAAGAAAACCAGUGGCGAAGGCGACUUUCUGGACGAAAACUGACGCUGAGGCGCGAAAGCCAGGGGAGCGAACGGG
rnacentral:rRNA from 1 species